CCCUUAGAUGUUCUGGGCUGCACGCGCGCUACACUGGUGCGUUCAGCGAGUUUAGCACCUUAACAGAUAUGUUUGGGUAAUCUUCUGAAAACGCACCGUGAUGGGGAUCGAUUAUUGUAAUUAUUAAUCGUCAACGAGGAAUUCCUAGUAAGUGUGAAUCAUCAGUUCGCGCUGAUUACGUCCCUGCCCUUUGUACACACCGCCCGUCGCUGCUACCGAUUGAGUGGUCCGGUGAAUUAUUCGGACCGGUGGACUGUGGGGAAACCCGCGGCCUGCUGGGAAGUCUUGUGAACCUUAUCACUUAGAGGAAGCAGAAGUCGUAAC
rnacentral:rRNA from 1 species